CAGCAGCCACGGUAAUACGUAGGGUGCAAGCGUUAUCCGGAAUUAUUGGGCGUAAAGAGCUCGUAGGCGGUCUGUCGCGUCUGCUGUGAAAACUGGGGGCUCAACCCCCAGCCUGCAGUGGGUACGGGCAGACUAGAGUGCGGUAGGGGAGAUUGGAAUUCCUGGUGUAGCGGUGGAAUGCGCAGAUAUCAGGAGGAACACCGAUGGCGAAGGCAGAUCUCUGGGCCGUAACUGACGCUGAGGAGCGAAAGCAUGGGGAGCGAACAGGAUUAGAUACCCCAGUAGUCCCUGUCUCUUAUAC
rnacentral:rRNA from 1 species